rnacentral:lncRNA from 10 species
ACUUACCCAGCCAGGGCUUCAGGGAUUUUGAAGUGGAAGGCAGGUGUGAGCAGGUGGCGGUGCCAUCUCCACUUGUCACCGGCACUAAUCAGGAGCCCAUCCCCUAGUAGAGGCAGCCAAGGGCCAUGGGCAAGGACAGCACCUUCCCCUGGCCCCAGAAGGUUGUCCCCAUCCCCAUUCAUCUAGUUACUCACCCAGCCAGGGCUUCAGGAAGCCAUAGAAACUCAUAUCCUUGAGUGCAACAGCAGCUGACAUGAAUAAGGACCAUCAGGGGUUAUGGAGAGGGGCAGGGGAGGGACUUUGAGUGUAGGGGGAGGCUCCCAGCCAGGGAUUUGCACUUCCACCCUCCAGGCCCAGCAUAGCAGGAAGAGGGUCAAGGGCAAAGGAAGGAGGGAGGACAGGGGAGGAGACUGGGGACCAGACCAGGCUGCAGCGGUGCAGUAGAACAAUGACACAGCCCAACAUGGCACAGCACACCCCAGUACGCCUUGACAUGGCUCCUACAUGGUCCAACAUGUUCUGCAACACCUGAGCAUAGCUCAACGCUCUACAAAAUGCCUUUACAAGGACCUAGGACACCCUAGCCGGGCACGGUGGAUCACGCCUGUAAUUCUAGCACUUUGGGAGGCUGAGGUGGGCGGAUUGCCUGAGCUCAGCAGUUCAAAACCAGCCUGGGCAACAUGGUGAAACCCCGUCUCUACUAAAAAAUACAAAAACAUUAGCUGGGUGUGGCGGCG